rnacentral:lncRNA from 1 species
AAUCAGAAGAGCUCACCCUUGGAAGAAGCUAGAAACGGCGCCUUUAGUGGUUGCUCUAAGACAAAAAAUCCUUUCCCUACAAAAAUCCUAGCUUCCCCCUUUCCAUCUUCAUCAUCUCAGACGGACUCCCCCUACCCCUCCCAAAAUGAUGAACCCUAGCAGCCUUCUUCCUCAAACAAGAAAUAGAGAAUAAAAAUCGGACUUUUCCCUUUUCUAAAACCUUAGCAAGCGGUCAUAAUCAGAACAAAAAAAGUCAAAAUGAUGACCAAAAGACAAAGAGCACCAAUCUCCUAGAACCCAUUUAGUUUCAGCUUUCAAGUUUUCCUAUUUUUUGUUAACUUAUGAAUGACGGAAUGAGGGAUCACGGCAAGGUCAAAUCGAACAUUUUAUUUGCUGGAAUUUUUGCUGAUAGCACCCUUUGCUGCCUGUUUUGCUGAGGACCAUUUCGUUGCGAUCAAGAGUAUUUUAUGUAUCUUUGUUUUGCUGUGAGAUGCUCCAUUAUUCAAUUUUCAAAGAAAUUUGCUAUGGUGAAAGGUCCAGUUUUGACUUACCUUAUUUCUAGUUAAUGUGUGACUUUGAAGUCUUAUGAAUUUUCCCAUGGUUUCAGGAUUAGCUUUUCUAAUUGCUACUUCUAAUAAUAUUUAUGCAUCGUGUUUUAACAUUCCAAAAAAAUAAUUUUUAGAAUUUGAAGCUCUAAACCACUGAAAACAGUAAAAAGAAUGGCAUAUGUGUUUGCGCAUGAUUCAUAUUGGAGCUUUUGUUUCAUGUUAAUUGUGGCAUUUGAUUCCUUCUCUUUAGUUUGUUCUUAUCCAUUAAAAAUGGCGUAUGUUGAUCUUGUGAGCUUUUAGUUUGAGAGCAUAACUUUAUUCUAUUAUUGUUUCUUUUGCCGUAGUAAAUUUGUCAAUUAAAUCUCUUGCUGCAUUUCGUGAUUAAUUGGAUAGAUAGAAAAAUUGGAGUUGUUUCUUUCUUGGCAAAGAAUAAGAAUAGGCCACAAGUGAUGUUAAGUUAGAAGAAUGUAUAACUCUUAAGCCUCAUGGUAAUCCGAAACUUAGGAAAACAAUCAUGAACAUCGUAGCUUACUUUAGGCGCGUUAAUUAAAUAAAUCAUUAUGACUAUGGGUACGAUUUUCGUGGCAUGGUCGCGAUACCUAAUCCCCAAUUCGGGUGUGCAUUUCAUGUGACCCGAUCAUAACAACUUCGAAUCAUAUUAAAAUAAACAUGUCGCAAAUCGCGGGUGCAUUUCAUGUAGCGCAAUUUGCAAUGUGUUCCAAAACGGCAAGUGUACGACAAUCGUAACUUGUUCAAGAAAUAAUUCCAUAAAUCCUAAAAAAGGUUUAAAAUAAUUAAAAGCGGUUAUAAAGUUAAAAAUACAUACUAGGUUUAAAAUAUGUAAUUAAUCAGAUAAUUAGGCCAAUUAUUAAUAGUUAAGCGACCGUGCUAGAACCACGAAAUCCAGGAAUGCCUAACACCUUCUUCCGGAUUAACAAAAUUCCUUAUCUAGUUUUUUGGUUUCGCAACUUUUAAAUAAAGUCGAUUUUCCUCGAUUUGGGAUUUAAAAUAAAUCGGUGACUUGGAACACCUUAAAAUAUUCCAAGUGGCGACUCUGAAAUAAAAUAAAAUAAUUCCAUUUCGAUUUAUGUCACUUUAAUUGGAAAAACUCCGUUAUAUACCCCCUCAGGUGUAAAAAGGAGGUAUGACAGCUCUGGCAACUCCGCUGGGGAAUUCAAACCCAGAACUUCGGUUCAGGGUUCAAGAAUUCGAGCUUAGAAUAAUUGUUAUUUUUGGCUUUUAUUUAUUAUCUGAUUUUUAUUUACAUGUUUGGGCCUAAUAUACUAAAUGUCGCUUUUUACCGCUUUGAUAUUAUGUGAACUGUAUAUAAACUGCUGCGAAACCCUUCUUUCUAAUCUUCUGGGAAUUACACGCUGGCAUGACUUAUUUUCUGUUAGUGUCAUACCCUAAUCUAGAACGAGGUUCGGACAAGUUGCAAAGCCAGAUGAUCUUUUGGUUAUCGGUACGCUGCCCCCCUCGGCUCGAGUUAUCUGCUCGGUAAGCCAAGUCUAGAACAAUACACCCAGGUUUUAAACCUAGAAUAACACAACCUCAUGACGAAUCCCUAGUAGGAACGCUUGUUUGCAUCAUGUGCAUUUGACUUUAGGGACUCAACACAGGGGUUGAGUCCGUUUAGGACAGGUGUACCCAAAUUAAAAAGACCAUCCUGAUGCAUCUUAUGUGCUACUUAUGCAUCUAUUUGUUUCGUCUUGCACAUUGAUUGGUUUCUAGAAUAGGGAAAGAAAAUCAAAAAAAAAGAAGAAGAGCGAGGCAAGUAUUUGAAAAAUCCUGAAGCUCUGCUGAAAUUGUAAAAAAAGAACAGAAAAGACAAAGUCAUUUCAAAAUGAGCCAAAAUUUUCAAGUGUCAUGUUUCCUUGUUCCAUCAAAACUGAACGAACUACGCGGGUCUAAUUCUCACCGGAUGUGAGAUACGUAGGCAAACCUCAUCGGUUCCGACCCCAAUUUUUAAAAAUCCAAAAAUAUUUUCCUUUAGUUCCUUCUCUAGCCUUAGAAAAUUCAAAAAAAAAAAGUUUUUUCUAAACUAAAAAAAAAUAGUUUCCUUCUUUCUAAAGUCUUUCAUACGGAAAAAAAGAAAUUAAAAAAAACAAAAUAAAAAAAAAUCAACAUCCAAAAUUCGUGUUUCAUUCGAAAAUUAAGAGACAACAUUCAAAAUCCAAAAAAGGAUUUUUUUUCUUCUUUAGAAAAAGAGAAAACAAAUGAAAAUUCAAACAAAAAUAUCUUCUUUUUACUUUUGAAAUUCCCAAAGUUCAUAUCAAAAGAAAAGGAAUUUUUAAAAGUCUUUCUUUCAAAAAAUAAAAAUAAAAUCAAAAUCAAAAAUCCAAAAAAAAUAUUUCCUUUCUUCUUUUAAAGCAUUUCUUUCGAAAGUUCCAAAAAACAAAAAACCAAAAACAACAAAACAAAAAAUUCAAACAAAAUAUGUUUUUCUUUUUCUUAAAGAUUUCUUGGUCUGAUUUUUAUAAAAGUAAACACACAAAAAAAAGAGUUAGCUUAUUUACUCCAUUCUCAAUCUUUCCGAACUGCACAAGAUCUGAUUCAUGCGGCUUCAUGAUACGUAGGCAAUCCUCAUCGGAUUCGAUCAUAGCCAUAAAAUUAGUUGAGUGAAAAAAUAAACUGAAAAAAGGGAAAGAAAAGUAGAGUGAAAAAAAAAAGAUUGACAAAAACAAAUAAAAAAAACAAGAAAAGAGAGUACCAAAAAUAAAGAGCGAUAGAAACGAAGAAAAAUAAAAAUGAAAAUCAAUAAUGAUUAAGAGAGGUAGAAAUAAAAGAAAAGAGGUACGUACUGAAAAGGUUAUUUAAGGUCGGAAUGAAACAUGUGACUCGUUCAAACACAUAGUAGAAACAUAUAACUGUUUAGGUGCAUUGCAUCCCAAUAUGUGACUUCCUAUCUGUUAAGCGUCUCAAAACUAAUAAGGUUGUUCGAUGUGCAAAUUAUCCAGGUUCUGUUCAGGUGGUUGGUUUUGUUGGUAAUCUGGCUUCCCAUCCUUACUUCACAAGAUCCAAAGGAAAGGUUCCUAUGGCCUCUGAAAGCCAUCUACAAAUCAUCGAUCCUGACAAUAGCCCAGCACCGACUAUCCCACAACCAGAAUCAACAGUUGCUAAAGAAAAUAGGAUAUUGCGUCUCCGCAUAUCGGAAAUGUGGGUUGCCUGGUCCAAUGGUAGGGAACCGCCAAGUGCAAUUCCUGAAUUCCCUGAGUUGAUCCCCAGGUCAGGUGAGGUCACCAACGCCCCUGUGCCCAACCCGCUCAUACCAUGCGGGCACCCUUCAAUGCCGUCCAAUGUUCCUGGCAUGCCUUCUGUGGUUCGCCCCCAGGUGCCAGUUUCCAGGGCACCUCCAAUAUUGUUCUCUAUGGCACCAGUCUGCACCAGAGCACAACCAACUUUACCACCGCCGUAUAUUGAACCUCCAAUGUUCACCUUUCAGGGUCCACAACUUCAAUCAGAAAUAACAUAUGUGACCCCUUACUCUUUCACUCAACCUCCGCAAUAUAAUCUCUCGGUGGAGCAAGAAAAGGUUGUUAAAAAUCCUGAGCAAGAGGAAAUGGCUCGAAAAAUGAAGAGCCUGGAACAAAGCCUGAAAAACAUGCAAGGUCUAAGUGGCCAAAAGAGUGUCUCAUACUCUGACCUCUGUAUGUUUCCCCAUAUCCACUUGCCAGCUAGCUUCAAGAUGCCAAAAUUUUAAAAGUACGACGGCACGGAGACCCGGUCACUCACCUGAAAUGAUAUUGUAACCAAUUGAGAGGCGCUGGUGGAAAAGAGGAGUUGCUAAUGGCCUAUUUUGGGGAAAGCCUCACCGGAAUCACUUCUGAGUGGUAUAUGGAUCAAGAAAUUACUCAUUGGAAUGUAUGGAUGAUAUAGCCCGAGAUUUUGUCCGCCAGUUCUAGUAUAAUGUGGACAUCGCUCCGACAGAAACUCUUUGUCCAAUUUGAAAAAGAAAAUCGCGGAAAGCUUCCGCGAAUAUACUAUCAAAUGGCGUGAGCAUGAUGCCAGGGUAAAGCGUCCAAUGGACGAAAUUGAAAGGGUCACGGUCUUUCUACAGGCCCUAGAGGCAGACUACUUCCAGAACAUUAUGUCCGCUAUGGGAAAGCCGUUUGCUGAUGCUAUCAAAAUUGGGGAGAUGGUAGAAAGUGGGCUAAAAACGGGUCGAAACUUGAGUCAUGUUGCUUUUAAACACAUCACUAGAUGCUCAAAAUGGUUCAUAGGGUUUGAUAAAUGGCAACGGGAGAGAAGAAGGAGCCAUGAUGGCUUCCAGUUCGAGGGGGGCCUGCAGGUCAUUCAACCAAUCAUAUAUGCUUCCUGAGGUCCCUCAACAUUAUUAUCCCCUUCAAGAUGCUGCUUAUGCCGUGGCACCACCUCCUUAUGCGGUGAUGAACGCGCAACCUUAUACGCGGCCACAUCAUUAUACACAAAAUCGAGCUCCACCUCCCAGAAAUGCCUAUCCUUACCAAGAUCCAUAUAAUCCUCAACCAAAUGAUCCCCAAUACUAUCCUCGCCCAAGAGGGCCUUUCAGAAAGAAUCAGUUCACCCCUAUUAGUGAAUCGUAUUCAAGCUUGUUCCAAAAGCUAAUCAGGCUAAAACUAUUGCAGCAAAUCGCCCCGAACCGGCCGAACCCUGAGUCCCUCUCGCACCGAGCUGAUCUAGGUGUGAAUACCACUCUAGAGCAGUAGGACACAGUAUGAAAGACUAUUGGACCCUUAAAAGGGCAGUUGAAGACUUGAUUGAAGCUGAAAGAAACGUUCUCCGGGAUGAAGAUGCUCCUAAUAUGAUGAACAAUCCUUUGCCUACUCUCACAAAUGGGCCAGUAAUCGGAAUGAUUUGUGAAGAUGAAGAAUUUGAUCUGGCACUGAAGGCCAUUGCAGCCAUUGCCGAGACAGAAAAAAGUCAAAAAACGGUUGCCAAGCCUGAAAGUUCCCAUCAGACGGGAGUCUCGGUAGCCAGUCUUGCUAUCCUUUCUACGUCCAAGUUAUCUCAGAGUGUAAUUCGAAUGUUCUACUUUAUUGUCUUACUUUCUGAUGUAAACCCUUCUAUCUUUGAAAUUCAAAAAAAAAUCAAAAAUCAAAUGAAAUUAAUAUUUCAUUGUCCAGGAAUGUCUCUUUUCUUAUUUUCACUUUUCUUAUUCUCUUGUUAGUUUUGUUAAAUGCAGAUUUCAAUAACAUGAUAUGCUUGGGACUUCAUGCCCAGAUCCUAAAACAUUGUCAGACCUCGAAAUAAUGAAUCAAGAAUUAGAUUGCACUGAAGAUAAGUUUAAAGAAAUAAAACAAAGAAUCGGAACAACUAAAGGAAAAUUGGUUCCAGAUUGGAAAGGUCCUUACGUGGUAACGAGAGUGUCGCCAAAAGAGAGCAUUGUACUUGGGACACACCGAAGAAAUGUCCCUGAAACAACUGUCAAUACAGAUGCAGACAAAGAUACUAUGUUGGAUCUUCUAUACAAUAUUAAUGUUCUCCGGUUCGGAUGAAGAAGGUUUUCUUUCUUAGUAUCCAAAUAUUCAACCAUUUACAAACCCUUUGAGCUGGUUACUCUUCUUUGAUUACCCUCUUUGGAACCUGAAAGUGUUAUUGAAAAAAAAAUUGAAAAAAAUAAAAUGAAAAAUGAAAAAAAAAUUAUGAAAAAAGAGAAGAAAAAGAAAGAUACAAAAAAAGAAGGGGAAGAAAAGAAAAAGAAAAUGAAAAAGAAGAGAGGAAAAGGAAAUGAAAAAGAAAGAGAAAACAAAACAAAACAGAAAAACAAAAGAAAAAAAACAAAGUUCCCUGAACUACGUUCGACUUGAUUUCGAAAGGAUACAUAGAAAGCCUCUCUCUGGCAUUCAGUCACACCAAAACAAAAAUCCAAAUUCCCCAAAAGUUGAAACUGGGGCAGAAGUUACAAUGGUUCGGCGAUGGUUUCGCCUGAAAGGUUCCAAAGUUGUAAUUCAAUCCAAAUUCUUUUUACCCUAAAUCCUGUUCAAGUCCUUCCGAUCAAUCAGUGAGAAUGUCCAAGGAUCGGAGAAUGCCGCUACCUGGAUUCGAUACAAUCAAAACAAGAGAAAUAAAAUGAGAGAGUUUUAUUGGUGAAAGCCCCCACGGGCACCGUAAGAUGAUGGUAAGUAGAGAAACUAAAAUGAGAGAGUCUUGUUAGUGAAAACUCGCAAAGAGCACUACAAGGCGAUGGUGAGAAGAGAAAUGAGAGAGGUCAGCUCGUGAAAUACCGCAAAGGGCACCACUGAUCGAAAAAGGGAUCUUCAGUCACUACAUUGAUGCAGUCUUGGGCAAGGUUUCUCGGUUUCGAGGCAAAAGUUGUGAUGAAUUUCUGAGAGUCGGACGGUUUGCACGGAUCAGGCAUCCAGUCUAAAAGGCAUGUCAUGUUCAUUGAAGUUCGCAUGUACUCCAGAUAAGUCCUCCUUUCCUUUCCCCGAAAGGGAUACCUCUUGUCUAAAUUCAUUUAUCCAUUCCAUUGUUUGUAUUUCCUUUGAAUCCCUUUCGGUCUAACUCUAUUCCGAAACUGAAACAAAGAAGGGAUGACAAGACUGAUUUAUAGGGUUCUCAUUUGACGCGAGCUAAUGUGCAAUAAGGCACCCAGCCUCGUUAGAGGCAUCGAGCCGACUUCGACCGGCCAUGGUGGUUGAUGUUUUGAAUUUGAAAACUCUUGGAAGGAGAAAAUCAAAUUGAAGCGCCUAUAAAGGCAAAUGAAUUUAAAAAGGUUGAGUCCCACGUAGCUAACCGCCUCGGCAAAGAUUUGAAAAAGCCAAGGUACCCCAAAUGCUCUGAAAUUGAAAUUGGAAGAAAGAAGCCAGAAAUGAAAGGCCUAUAAAGGCGAAAUAAAGUUGAAAAAGGUUAAGUCCCACGCGACUAGCCAUUGCGACAAAGUUUGAGGAGCAAAAAGUUCCUCAAUGCUCCGAAGUUAAAAAUAAAAAAAAAGAAGUAAAAGGGGAAAGGCCUACGAAGGCAAAAUAAAGUCGAUAAGGUUGAGUUCCACCGACCAACCGUCAUGGCAAAGUCUGGAAAAACCAGAGGUUCUCCAGGGCCUGAAAUGAAAUCGCUCCUCAGGGAACAAACAAUUGCAUUUGAGAUCUUCAUCAAAGAAGCCAAGCCGAGAUCAAGUGAUUGAAACAAUCAAGGCCACAAAACCAACCACCGUUUCAAACUAACAAUUAUUUUUUGUUUGAAAACAGGAAACAAGUGCAAUCCAAAGCAACCUUGCAAGAAGCAGGUGCAACCAAAAAGAAAUUGCGCAAGGGCUAGAAACAACUUUGCAGCAAUAAUCAAUCUAAAAGGGAAGUCUCCUCCAAAUUCUUUCCUGCGUUUUUACUCAUUUUUCUUAAACAAAAAAAAUGAAAUGAAAAGAAAGAAGAAGAAAAUUCAAAAUUUUGGUAGCAUAGGGUUUCCAGUCUCUAGCUACGUCUUUUCCAACAUAGGGUCUCAUUUCCUAGACAAUGCCAAUAUAACCUGGUAAUCUUUUCAACGUAGGGUCCAUUCCCUAGUCGAUGCCAGCAUAACCUGGUAAUCUUUUCCAACAUAGGGUCCCACUCCCUAGCUGAUGCCAGCAUAACCUGGUAGUUUUUCCCAACAUAGGGUCUCAUUCCCUAGUUGAUGCCAGCAUAACCUGGUAAUCUUUUCCAACAUAGGGUCCCACUCCCUAAUUGAUGCCAGCAUAACCUGGUAGUCUCUCCCAACAUAGGGUCCCAUUCCCUAGUCGAUGCCAACAUAACUUGGUAAUCUCUCCAACAUAGGGUCCCACCCUUUAGUUGAUCUCCGGCAUAACCCGAGGACCUUUCCGGCAUAACCCGAUGACUUCCCCAGCAUAACCUGAGGACCUUUCCAGCAUAACUUGAUGACUUCCCCGGCAUAACUCGAGGACCUUUCUGGUAUAAACCGAUGACUUUUCCGGCAUAACCCGAGGACCUUUCCGGCAUAACCCGAUGACUUCCCCGACAUAACCUGAGGACCUUCCAGCAUAACCCGAGGACUUCCCGGCAUAACCCGAGGACCUUUCCGGCAUAACCCGAAGACUUCCCCGGCAUAACCCANNNNNNNNNNNNNNNNNNNNNNNNNNNNNNNNNNNNNNNNNNNNNNNNNNNNNNNNNNNNNNNNNNNNNNNNNNNNNNNNNNNNNNNNNNNNNNNNNNNNNNNNNNNNNNNNNNNNNNNNNNNNNNNNNNNNNNNNNNNNNNNNNNNNNNNNNNNNNNNNNNNNNNNNNNNNNNNNNNNNNNNNNNNNNNNNNNNNNNNNNNNNNNNNNNAACUCGAGGACCUUUCUGGCAUAACCCGAUGACUUCCCCGGCAUAACCCGAGGACCUUUCCGGCAUAACCCGAGGACUUCCCCGGUAUAACCUAAGGACCUUUUCGGCAUAACCCGAUGACUUCCCCGGGAUAACCCGAGGACUUUUUUGGCAUAACCCGAUGAUUUUUCUAGCAUAAUCUGGUAAUUUUUUCCAACAUAGAGUCCCAUUCCCUAGCUGAUGCAAGUAUAACCUGGUAAUCUUUUCCAACAUAGGGUCCCACUCUCUAUCUUUGCUAGCAUAACCUGGUAAUCUUUUCCGGCACAGGGUCCCAUUGCUUAGUUGAUGCCAGCAUAACCUGGUAAUCUUUCCAACUUAGGACCUCCGAUCUCCAUUUGAUUUCAUUUUAGAUAUAGGACUCCACUCCCUAAUCUCUUUUCUCCCAAGGAUACACAAUCCUGAUUUUAUUGCUUUCAAUAAAGAAGUAGUUUAGAUUUUUGUUACAAUAACUCAUAAAAUUUUCCUAGUGAAAACUGGGGCAGAAAAUUUAGUUCGUUUGUUGGUUUUGGUGCCUGAGCAGGAUUUUACCUUGAGGCACAAGUUUCGAGGUGACCAAAAGAAGAAGUCUUGAUUCAAAUAAAAGAAAAGAUUAACAAGAAAAGAAGUGAGCUCUAAGUGCAAAAGCGGAAAAAAGAUGCAGACUGCUCAAGAUAUGAUUGAAAUCACAAGCUUUGCAUGUCCCGCCUUGAUCCGAAAAGCUGAAGAAGAACGAAUCAACGGUUGCAGUUAACGAGCAUCAAGAUUCAGAUUAGAGUCUGCAGGAAGAACCAUCCAAGACUCAAGAUCAAGCUUUAGAAGGUUUAUAGAUAAGAAUCUUGUAACUCGUAGCUGAUAGGCUUAGUUAGUUUAGCUUUUCAUUUUUCAUUUUUCAUUUUGGUGUAAUAAGGAGCUCAGCAAGCAGAAAUAGCAACAACAAUAGUGAAAUUACAGUUUCUCGGUAGUCCCAGCUACCAAAACUUCUAGAACUACACUGACCCGAUUCCUUUAUAGCCAAUGAUAUGUAGGAAACCUCCGAAGCAAGGUUCGGUCAAACUUUUUCAAAAUGCUUCAAAAUGGAGUUUCAAACGGGCAAAAAUUGCUCGUAGUUGCUCACUCUAUCUUUGCUCGAAAACUUUUCAUGUUUCCGAGCAAAGAGGGGCAGUUGUGAGCACCUAAUUUUUGUCCUACAUGAAAAUAACUCCUAAAAAUAGACCAAAAUAAUUUUAAUUGAUUUUUAGGAGUUGUUCUUUAUUUAGUUGCAUUUCAUGAAUUUUUAAUAUUUCAAAAUCAUAAAAAAUUGUCACGUUUUAAUUUCAUGCCAUCUUAGGUUCAAUUUGCAUGUAGGAAUUAAUUUUAUUAAGCAAAAAUCACAAAAAGGUCAUUUUUACAUAUUUAGAUUUUAGACUUUAAAAAUUAGCAUUUUCUUUAGUUUUAAGUUAAUUAGUCGUUUAAUAUUAAAAAUAAAUAAAGAAUUCUAAUUUCUACAAAAAUAGAUUGAUUUAGGAUUUUAAUUAAUUAAAGAAAAGAAAAAGAAAAAACAAAGAAAAGGAAAAUAGGAAGAAUAUAUUUUUGGUCUUGUUUCUUUUAAAAUUGGGCCAAUUCCUAAUAUGGCCCAAUUAAUUAAGACCCAAAUUCCCCCUAUAACAACCCCAAACUCGCCAGCAUAUGAUCCACGACCCGAAUCUUAACACUCUUUUCCUAAAAAACCUGGGUACACAUUAGAAAACCUAGGAAACAAUAAUUAGAAGAGCUCACCCUUAGAAGAAGCUAGAAACGACGCCUUUAAUGGCUACUCUAAGACAAAAAAUCCUUUCCCUACAAAAAGCCUAGCCUUCCCCCCUUUCCAUCUUCAUCAUCUCAGACGGACUCCCCCCCCAAAUGACGAAUCCUAGCAUCCUUCUUCCUUGAGCAAGAAACAGAGAAUAAAAAUCGGACUUUCCCCUUUUCUAAAACCUUAGCAAGCGACCACAACCGGAACAACAAAAGUCAAAAUGAUGACUAAAAGACAAAGAGCACAAAUCUCCUAGAACCCAUUUAGUUUCAGCUUUCAUGUUUUCCUUUUUCUUUGUUAACUUACGAAUGACGAAAUGAGGGAUCACGACAAGGUCAAAUUGGACAUUUCAUUUGUUGGAAUUUUUGCUUAUAGUGCCCUUUGCUGCCUGUUUCGCUGAGGAGCAUUUCGUUGCUGUCAAAAGUAUUUGCUGUAUUUUUGUUUUGCUGUGAGAUGCUCCAUUAUUCAAAUUUCAAAGAAAUUUGCUAUGGAGAAAGGUCCAGUUUUGACUUAUCUUAUUUCUAGUUAAUGCGUAACUUUGAAGUCUUAUGAAUUUUCCUAUGGUUUCAGGAUUAGCUUUUCUAAUUGUUGCUUCUAAUAAUAUUUAUGCAUGGUGGUUUAACAUGCCAAAAAAAUAAUUUUUAGAAUUUGAGGCUCUAAACCACUGAAAACAGUAAAAAGAAUGACAUAUGUGUUUGUGCAUGAUUCAUAUUAUAUUUGGAGCUUUUGUUUCCUGUUAAUUGUGGCAUUUGAUUCCUUCUCUUUAGUUUGUUCUUAUCCAUUAAAAAUGGCGUAUGUUGAUCUUGUGAGCUUUUAGUUUGGGAGCAUAACUUUAUUCUAUUAUUGUUUCUUUUGCCGUAGUAAAUUUGUCAAUUAAAUCUCUUGCUGCAU